AUAAGCGCGCCGCUUCGGGGCACCACAGACAUGGCUGAAGUUUGGUUGUCCUGCUGUCCACCUCCCGCCUUUUGAGAGCCUGAAGACCCAUCAUCUGUGCAUUACAGUGGCCCUGCGGCCGCUCAACUGGAGCCCUUGGCCCCGGAGGCGGAUGCGGGGGCACGGGGUGUCCCGUGGGGGUGGCGACUUCAGCCUCCGAGAAGCCCUGGGCCUGGGUUCAAGCAUGACUCGCCCACUUUCUAGGGCAUGUUUUGCCAGAGUCUGCUCCACAUCGCUUGGUCCUAUCCAUCCCCUCAAGCUUCACACCACUUGCUAACGGGUUGGCAGAAGUUGCUCCGUGCUCCCUUUCCAAACUGAAAUGCUGUCCAUCAAGGUGGUGAAGAGGAAUCGAAAUGAGGACAAUGCAGACAGAAAUCACCAAAAAUUGAUCAAGAAGGAAGAGGAAAACGAAGUGUAGAUCAAAGCCAAAGCUGGCAUGAAUGAAUAUAAGAUGACUCAUUCAAUGAGAAUUUGGAUGCUGGUGGAAAUCCAGGCUCCAGCGAUUGAACUCAGGUCAAGCCUGGCUGGCAAUGCCUGUACUUGCUGAGACAGCUCACCAUCCCCAAUGCGGGGUGUUGUUUUAACAUUUGUUGAUUUGAGUCGUGGGGGUGCACAUGCCAUAGCACAUGUGUGGAAGUCAGAAGAUGACUGGGAAGAGUUGGUUUUUUUUCCAUUUACAAGGUGAGCUCCGGAUGGCACUCAGCUUGCCAGGUGUAGUGAACACACCUUUACCUGCUGAGCCGUGUCACUGGGUCCAAAUGUCUUGUUUUUUUUUUUAAAUAAAAUUUUGUUUUUGUUUUCAUUUUUGAUAUUUUAUGUACCUUAGCUUGAAUUAAACUCUUAGCAUUUAACCUCUAUAACAGUAUAUGGAAUAAGUAUUCUUAUUCCUGUCUUGUGCAUAAUAAUAUUAAGAGUUAGAGAGGUCAAACUUUACUGAAGAAUUAGAGCUAUAACUUGGAAUAUGAUGCAAUAGCAGAGCAGUAACCAUGUGUGUGACCUUAAGUGUGGCAUCCUGAGCACCAAACACAAAACAAAAAAUGUAAAGAAACAGAACUGAGCCUGAACACAUAAAUACUCUGCAACAUGGCUUGUGCAGACCCCAUUUUCUUUCUUCUGUUUUUUGUUUGUGUGUUUGUUUUGUUUGCUUGUUGUUUAUUUUUGAGAUGGGUCUCAUUUCAUAGUCUUGGCUGACCUGGAAAUCUGUGUAGCUCAGACUGGCCUCAAAUUCCCUACAACCACCCACAUCUGCCUCGACCUACAUGAUAAUAAUUUCUUUUUUAAAAUGUGUAUGGUGUUUGGUCUGUAUUUAAUUCUGGGUACCAUGUGCAUGCCUAGUGACCAUGGAGACCUGAAGCAGCCAUGGAUCCUCUGGGAAUGGAGUUAAAGACUCUUAGGAGUUGCUGUGUGGAUGCUAGGAAUUGAAGCCAAGUCCUCUAGAAGAACAGCCAGUAUUCUUAACAGCUGAGCCAUCUCUCCAGCACCUGUAGAUCCCUAUGUUUUAAUUCAGAUAUGCAGAGUAGAGUUUCUCCAGUUCCCAACAGAUGAAGGUCACCAUCCUGACUGUCAGUGACGAUAACACAGUUGUUCUCUUCCAGCCCUUGCUGCCUUGUUGGCUGUGCACUUCGGCAGCCUGACCUUUCUGCAUCACCAUCAAUCUGCAAUGAUCUAUGAAAUAUGACAGUUGCAUUCAUAAGAAGUCACUGUGUGCCAAAUGACCGAGAACAUCUCCAGCAAGUAUAGAGUUUCUGGAAAGUAUUUUAGUGGCCGAAAGACCUUUCUCUUUUUCUAAAAAUGUUUGCUAUGUUCCUAGACUAAAAGUGAGACUAAAGGACACAGAAAAUCACUAAAAUAUACGUUUCAGCAUAAAUCAUCCAUAUUAGGUUUUUAUGUGUUGACAUAUUAAUUCCUUUUUACAUUGUUUAAGAAGACAGUACAGAGCUAUGAGAACUAUAUGAGGAAGGAUAACUGUUUACUUGUGAGUUUUGUUAACCUAUGUUACCUGUGUCACUUGAGAUUGGUGAGAGUUGAGACAUGAGUAGUAAAACCCAAACCAAAUUAUGCAGAAGAAAGCAGAAAAAGAAGCUCACAAAUAGCUUUCAUCGUCUUCUCUUCUUCCAGGCUAUGACAGCAUUCCUUACCUU